rnacentral:rRNA from 1 species
AGGACGAACGCUGGCGGCGUGCUUAAUACAUGCAGGUCGAACGAGGUUCAGUCGGUGGUAACACUGACGAAGAUCUAGUGGCGAACGGGUGCGUAACACGUGAGCAACCUGCCCCGAAGACCGGGAUAACAGUGGGAAACCGCUGCUAAUACCGGAUGUCCCCACGAAUUCGCAUGGAUUUGUGAGGAAAUGGAUUCCGCUUCGGGAGGGGCUCGCGGCCUAUCAGCUUGUUGGUGAGGUAACGGCUCACCAAGGCUUCGACGGGUAGCUGGUCUGAGAGGACGAUCAGCCACACUGGGACUGAGACACGGCCCAGACUCCUACGGGAGGCAGCAGUAGGGAAUCUUGCGCAAUGGGCGAAAGCCUGACGCAGCAACGCCGCGUGGGGGAUGAAGGCCUUCGGGUUGUAAACUCCUUUAGUGGAACGAAUUGACGGUACCCACAGAAAAGCCCGGCUAACUACGCGCCAGCAGCCGCGGUA